AUUGAACGCUGGCGGCGUGCCUAAUACAUGCAAGUCGAGCGCAGGAAACUGACGGAACUCUUCGGAGGGAAGGCAGUGGAAUGAGCGGCGGACGGGUGAGUAACACGUGGGCAACCUGCCUGUAAGACUGGGAUAACUUCGGGAAACCGGAGCUAAUACCGGAUAGUAUUUCCUUUCUCCUGAUUGGAAAUGGAAAGACGGUUUCGGCUGUCACUUACAGAUGGGCCCGCGGUGCAUUAGCUAGUUGGUGGGGUAAUGGCCCACCAAGGGGACGAUGCAUAGCCGACCUGAGAGGGUGAUCGGCCACACUGGGACUGAGACACGGCCCAGACUCCUACGGGAGGCAGCAGUAGGGAAUCUUCCGCAAUGGACGAAAGUCUGACGGAGCAACGCCGCGUGAGCGAUGAAGGCCUUCGGGUCGUAAAGCUCUGUUGUUAGGGAAGAACAAGUACGAGAGUAACUGCUCGUACCUUGACGGUACCUAACCAGAAAGCCCCGGCUAACUACGUGCCAGCAGCCGCAGUAA
rnacentral:rRNA from 1 species